UUUGCAAGAUAUAGGAGAAAAUGGCUAUACCCUUAGUUUUCCUCCAAUCCUUCGAUAAUCACUUUCAUUUAGUCCUUGACAAUUUAUUCGCACUAGUUCACACUCUUCAAAAGCCUCUCUGACAUUUGCUACAAGGUCACAGUAAACACCAUUUUUUGCUGUAUAUAAAGAUAGAAGUUAGUCUCACAUGGUCAGCAAAAAAAGAGCAAAAACUUGCUUUCUUGUUAAAUUGUAAUGAAAAUCUGAAAGAUUCUACCUAGCUUGAAUAUCGGUUCCAAGUUCCUUCCCUUCCGACGAAAUUCAGUUGCUUCUUCUAGUGUUAGGCCUUCUGGAACUCGCUUAACCAACCUAGGAUAUACUGGAGAUACAGGUUUCCACAGCAUCAGAGGAAAACGUUGGCGUGUUCUAUAGUUGUAGUUUCUGCCCCGGAAGAGGUAUACCGUACCACUUUUCCUAUGAAUGAUUUUUCCCCCAGUCCUUUCCUACGAAACCAGACAAAGACCAUAAGUAAUGAAAAACAAUUAAUUUCUUUAUUGAGGAAUGUCAGAGGACAUGGUCAACUCAGAAAAGUAAGAUCAGCGAAGGCAUCGUAAAGAAAAGAAAAACAAAAGUUAAAAAUUUAUAUCCUUGAGAGAAGCCAAAGAAAAUGUCAUCGGAAACCGUAGCCCCCCACCCCAAAACAAAAGAUGCAUGAACUAUAUUCUCCUUUACCAUUUAAAUUGCAUAGCAGGAUGAACAAAUAAACGAAUGUUUUAACCCAAAAGCAAAUACACAUCGACCACACAAGAUGAGGUUUUACUUCCAAAACACAAGCACAGAUUUGAGGUCAUUAUGAAUUGAUAUCAGUGAAAAGUGGGACAGUUGAGAGCAGAAAAAACCAACCUCUAACUGUUGGCACACAUUAUCCAUGUCUCCCAUAGAAAGUGAAGCAGCAUCGGUAACCAUCGAGAAAGGUGGAUUGCUAUCUUCUAUAGGGUAAGGCACCUCAGCUUGAGAGAAACUCACAUCAUCUGAACUCGAAGAAAUACUAGUGUCAUAAGAUUCACUGCUUAGAUGCUCUAAUGAAUUCUCCUGUGGCAUUUCAGACAAUUCUGGGGCAUCUGAAGUCGGUGUAUUGGAAUUGUCACUGUCAACAUCAAUUUUAUUGGCUUCAUUGUAAUCAUCUUCGAGACCUGGGAAAGAGGACCUCCACUUUUUUCCCCUCCACAUAAGUAUGUGUUCAUUCUCAAAUGAGAGCAAUAUGCAUGGAACAAGAUCCUACAGUCAAGAAACAAAAUUGGAAGAAAAAUGUUACUUAUUAUCCUAUAUCACCAACGAAAAAAGGGCAAAAAAAAAAAAAUCUUCAAUGUUGUUUGCAAGAUAUAGGAGAAAAUGGCUAUACCCUUAGUUUUCCUCCAAUCCUUCGAUAAUCACUUUCAUUUAGUCCUUGACAAUUUAUUCGCACUAGUUCACACUCUUCAAAAGCCUCUCUGACAUUUGCUACAAGGUCACAGUAAACACCAUUUUUUGCUGUAUAUAAAGAUAGAAGUUAGUCUCACAUGGUCAGCCAAAAAGAGCAAAAACUUGCUUUCUUGUUAAAUUGUAAUGAAAAUCUG
rnacentral:lncRNA from 1 species